rnacentral:misc_RNA from 1 species
CAUUUGCCGUGCUAAAUACCCGCGUCCUCUCUCCGCCUCUUUCUUUUUCUCAUGCAAUGCAAGCAACUCGCUAGUUCAAAACUCAAACUCCUAACUCAACUCCAUUAUUCACCAAUAGAAACAGCGUAUGCAGGUUAUUCAGCUAAUUCGAACACGCCUUGAUUGUCUCACAGCUUCCCGUCUUAAAGGGAAGCUGUUCAGCUUUUUUUGUAAAUGCUGCUGUCGUCAUCGUUAGAUUUGCCGCAUGCGUCGGAUUUCGUCAUACGAGUUGAAUGAGUUGAGUGAGUUGAGAUACGUGUUGCCCGUGCGCGGCUUAUAGAAGCGGGGAUUGCGGGAUUUCUCUCAGUGACAGACGGUGUGUUGAUGUUUUGAUAUUUAAAAGCGAUGGCAGGAGUGGAGAACACUGGGGAGGCUGGAGCCACAGGUGGACAGGAGGGGCCUGAGGCAUCUGAUGGAGCCUAUGAAUGCAACAUAUGCCUGGACCAGGCUCGGGAUGCUGUGGUCAGCAUGUGCGGUCACCUAUUCUGCUGGCCAUGUUUGCACACGUGGCUGGAGACACGCCGCAACAACCAAGUGUGUCCCGUCUGCAAGGCGGCCAUCAGCCGUGACAAGGUGAUCCCUCUGUACGGUCGCAACAGCUCCAACAAGGAUCCGCGCAACCAGCUGCCUCCGCGACCGCCGGGCCAGCGCACAGAGCCUGAAAAUCAGGGUACCACAUUUGGUGGAGUGAACUUUGGCGACACAAACUUCCACAUGUCGUUCGGAAUUGGCGCAUUCCCUCUGGGUUUCUUCGCAUCCACACUGAACUUCGGUGGUGAACGGCUUAAUCCUCAUGCCGGUUUGCAGCCUGGACAGCAGUUUCACGCCGACGAUCAGAUGCUCUCCAAGCUAUUCCUCGGGCUGGGCAUCUUCUGUGUGAUCUGGAUCCUGCUCGCAUAGUAUGUUCCGACUGUACACGCUUACGCAUACGAUCACGGCACAUAUCGGUAGGGCCGUCUCCGUCUGAGUCGUCACAGGUGACCCUGCAGCAGAGAGCAGGGCACGGGUCCGAAAACAGACCCACUUGCUUCACUCGUACGUAUUACACCCGCACCGCAUUUCAAGCGACAGUGACGAUAUAUGAUGGACCGUAAUGUCCAUGACACGAUGCACACAUUUCGAAAUGCAAGUUAGAUGCUGAUUUCGAUUCAAAUGCAAUAUUAUGGAAUAUUAGUUUGAUUUUCUAGCGUGAUAUAUUACAUGAUUAGCUGACCACGUUAAUAAACUUUGCAUGUAACUGUUAAGGUGGCGCAUGCAAUAAAUUUACAUCACUCGUUUAGUACCGUGCUGCGACCGUACCAAUGUUGCGAAUAUUUUUUUAUUCCUAGAUUGUAUGAGUAUCUCAACAAAUUUGGUCGUGCUUGCUCUCCGGGAUUUCAUGGUCACGUAUUUUAUUGUCUUUUUCCCAUUAACUGAUAUUGGGUUUUUCUGCUCACCCCACCCAGACCCAGCAGUGAUAACAGUACCGCGGAACUAUUUGCAGAAGCGGGUAGGUAAUAUAUGAGUAUCUUAUGACACGUUACGUCAUAAGAGACAAGGUGCGCCGGAUCAGGCGCACACUUAUGACGAUCGUAGUGUCGCGAAAGGAUCAAUAUACACAGAUAAGUACUGACUGAGCUUCUGCGUGGUGCUCCUAAGUGUGCUUGGGUUGUCCCGCGAUCAUUGUGCUCGUCCUCUUAAAUGUGAUAGAUUCGCUUGUAAUGAUGCUCGUUCGUCGCAUUUUGCGAUGCGAUGGUGCGAUGAAAUAUGACAGAGACGAAUAAAGUUGCAUAAUGCGAUGCAUAAUACGAUGCAUACGAUAGUGAGUUAUCCGUAAGAUGAAAUAACAGCCUUUCGGAACUGCAUCCCUAGCUAUCUGGAUCUUAGGCCUACGAAUAGCGAUGCGAUGCGUUCUGAGUUGGUUAUGCGGCAUUUAGUGACCGAUCAAUGCGUUAGAUGUGCAGUAUAUAUAGCAGACGAUAGCUCCGAGAAUGGGUGAUUUCAUCAACUGCCUUGAAUAUUCCACUUCGCAGCUGAUCGACUGUCGCCUUUUACUUAAACAACUGUCAUCACUUGUCUCGCUCAUCGGUCGCUAUAGCAAUGUGGAUAGAUAAGGCGCCUUGACGAAUGGGCCAGCGACCAACCCUUGCUCACCGUUACUGCGUGGCUUGCUGUAUGUCGCCGCGGGCCUGUGUGGGGGUUCGGGGUCGGCUGCUGCCGAGGGCACGGGUGUGGCGUUGGCGCAGUGUGGCCACCGCGCUGUCCGCGCCACCUGCGAUGUGCCAGUUGGGCGUGUGGUCGCCCGCGGCUAGGUGUCGGAGACUGCGCCCACCUCGUCUUCGUGCAUGACAGACUGUUAUUCGUGUGUGUGUGUGUGGGGUGUGUGUGUGUGUGUGUGUGUGUGUGUGUGUGUGUGUGUGUGUGUGUGUGUGUGUGUGUGUGUGUGUGUGUUUCGAAACCGGUCGUCAAUACAUCUAUAUUUAAGGGUGGCAGCCCUGUUGCAAGAA